CACGUAGGGCGCAAGCGUUGUCCGGAAUUAUUGGGCGUAAAGAGCUCGUAGGCGGUCUGUUGCGUCCGCUGUGAAAACUCGAGGCUCAACCUCGAGACGUCGGCGGAAACCAUCUGGCUAGAGUCCGGAAGAGGAGAGUGGAAUUCCUGGUGUAGCGGUGAAAUGCGCAGAUAUCAGGAAGAACACCCGUGGCGAAGGCGGCUCUCUGGGACGGUACUGACGCUGAGACGCGAAAGCGUGGGGAGCGAACAGG
rnacentral:rRNA from 1 species